UAGUAACAGGUACCUAGUUACCCUGAGGAAAUUUAUAAAAUCGGGAAAGUGAGCCUAAGCAGUGAUUCCCUUGGGCUCCUGGAAGGGGCAAAGCCGGAAACGCUCCGGCGCCACAGGAUGCGGGGCCGGUCGAUUAGGUAGACGGGGGGGUAGGGGCGCCCCGUGCCCAUAAUCGGUACUGGUUGUAAGACCAAGAGGCCGGAGAGGGAAUCUUAGACAACAUUCCGGGCCAUACGGGGGGCAGCAGGCCCGGAACCCUCACACAAUAGGAAAGGGGGAUAAGGGGCAUCGGGGAGGGAAGGCAUAGAUCAACACUUGGUCCACCGAUAAGGGGGGCGAGGAU
rnacentral:rRNA from 1 species